UACAGAGGUCUCAAGCGUUGUUCGGAUUCAUUGGGCGUAAAGGGUGUGUAGGUGGCGCCGUAAGUCAGGUGUGAAAUCCCGGGGCUCAACCCCGGAACUGCACUUGAUACUGCGGUGCUCGAGUACUGGAGAGGAGAUUGGAAUUUACGGUGUAGCAGUGAAAUGCGUAGAUAUCGUAAGGAAGACCAGUGGCGAAGGCGAAUCUCUGGACAGUUACUGACACUGAGGCACGAAGGCCAGGGGGAGCAAACGGG
rnacentral:rRNA from 1 species